rnacentral:rRNA from 1 species
GACGGAGGAUGCAAGCGUUAUCCGGAAUUAUUGGGCGUAAAGCGUCCGCAGGUGGCUGUUCAAGUCUGCUGUCAAAGCGCAGAGCUUAACUCUGUACAGGCGGUGGAAACUGAAGAGCUAGAGUAUGGUAGGGGUAGAGGGAAUUCCCGGUGUAGCGGUGAAAUGCGUAGAUAUCGGGAAGAACACCAGUGGCGAAGGCGACUACCUGGCCUGUUCUUGACGCUGAGGCGCGAAAGCUAGGGGAGCAAACGGG